GAGGAGGUUGCUAUGCAGGUAGGGGGUGGUUGCUAUGGAGAACUUGAUUCUCACGCGGACACACCGCCCCCAUCUGGACCCUGGGAUGCCAAUGCUGUGGUAAAGUGUGUAAAGUAUGACCAAGUGUUUCUUUCUGUUAAAUAGAUAGAACUUUAUCAAUCCCCUGUAGGAGAAAUGUGUUAAUGGUAAAAUGGUAAAAAAAAAAAAAUACAAAACAUGAUGGUAACUCUAAAGUCAAACCGUCCAAUCUGAAGGCUCUACUUAACCACUCCCCCUACUCACUUCCGCCAAUGCAAAGCGAACAGAACUGAUUAGGGGAGGGCGUAGUUUGUGACUGACCCAGAUGAACUGCUAAAUAGCGGCGCAAGUUGGUGGGCGCUAUCCUGGUAAUUUCUCUGCGUGAGAAAUACGAAGUGUGCCGUGUGAGCGUGUGCAUGGGUUGAAUUGCUUGUGUCUCCCGCUGAAUGCGUGAGACUUGAGAGCCCUGUAACAGAGUGGCGACACUUCCAUUGGACUCCGUUGUAGCGCCUACUUCCGGGGUAUGGAGCCUCGCAUAGUUCCAAACAACCAUUUUACGGCGUAGGAGAUCAUUCAUUUCCAUUGCUGGCCGUCGAGUAACUUCUGAGACGACCGAUUGCCUGCUGGUUUGUUAGCUCGACUUCGCCAUGUGAAGUUGCCUUAUUAGGUCCUCCACAGUCGCCCCAUCAGUCCCUGGCAGUCUGGUCCCUGGAGCAGCUGACCCUGGAUCACCUGGCCCUGGCAAAGUGGCCUCUUGAUUGCUCUCUGUGACUCCUGUCAUGUCCUUUUCAUCGCUCUUGAAAUCCACCUCAAUUUCCCCCUCAAUCUCUGUAACAAUUACAAGGUAAUGUUGCUGUUAUGUGUAUUUUGCCUUUGCAUUUGCAACUACUGUCAUCUCUGAUCCAACGUCCAAGUGCUGUCACGUGACGACAAGAUGGCGGACGCGGUGAGAAUCCUUAGCUGUGUCCCUAUUCCUCUACGAAUAGUCAUAUCUCCUAUCCUUUACUUAACCUUUGUGGAAAAUGUCAUCGGGUCAAGGAGAGAUGAAAAUGUGCUUCCUUUCUAACAUAGGAAAAGACAGUGCUGUUUAAAAUGAAUUCGACUCCACUUUUCCUAACCGACGUCAUUGCGCGACGGGUAUUGCUGACCUCUAGCGUUUCUAUGGUGGAACUACAGUUUUCCGAAGUUGGUCUACAACAGGGGUUCUCAAAGUUUUGACAGCUGAGGGCCAAUUUAGGAACCCAAAAUUUGACUAUUUAUUUUUGUUUAAAUUAAUGAUAUAAAUAAAAAAGAGAACGUACUGGCAAUGAUAAAGUAUAACAAAAUGGGGAACGACUUCGUGUGACGAAUGAAGAAAGAGGGAACAGAAAUUGUUUGCUUUGCAAAAAACGUCUGCAUUUUUAUUUUCUUGCGGUGUAUAUUGUGUUUAAUAACCAUCAAUAUAUGAUUUCAUUUCGAUUCAAAUAAUGUUUCUUGGAAUUGAUAUCCAUUAUUAUAAAUUUUAUUUUCUGCUCUUCAAACAAACCAAUAAAAAAUA